rnacentral:misc_RNA from 1 species
GAUGUGUCAAUUUUGCUCUCCAACAUGCUGCUUACUUCUUGCAUGGAUGGCCGCUUUGUGGGUUCUGGAUGGAUGCAUAGACUUACAACUUCGCAUAUGAUUUUGAGGUCCUCAUAUUCGAAAUGUUUCAACUCUGGAUCCACCAAGUAACACAUUACUUCUGGCAUUUCAAGAAACUCCUUCGCCCAAUCUACCAAGAAUCCUUUGUCCUUGCAGUAGGGAGAUCUCCCACUGAGCAUUUCCAAUAAAAGCACACCAAAGGCAUAUACAUUGCCUUGGAGAUCAAGAUGGCGCUCGUCUAGAGAAUUUGGAAGUACACAAAUAGCACCUUGGCUGCCUAUGGAG